GCUGCUUCCUCCGAGAAGGGACUGCAAUCCUGCUUGUAGGAAAACUGAAGUGCAAACUGCCGGAUCAAACUGAAGAGGGAUUUUACCUUGCAGCAUCCAGGUGAGACCUGGCAUGAGAAGAAGGCUUGUAGGAAAACUGAAGUGCAAGCUGCCAGAUCAAACUGAAGAGGGACUUUGCCUUGCAGUAUCCAGCUCUCACUCUCCAGAGACUGUUAAAGCGUGCAAAGCGGAGGAUCUGCAGAACUCCUCAAGUUUCGCUGCAUGGAGGGAGGUGCACGGCCCCGGAAGCAGCGCAGGUCUCUGGCUCUGAACAUCCCGAAGAUGGUGGGGCUCAGGGAUGCUUCCGCGCCUGGCGACGCUUCGUCUGGGGACAAGAAAAAAGAAACGAUGGGUCCACCACAGACUUUUACGUGGGAGCAGACAGCGUCUCAUUAAAAAGCACAGGGAAAAGUGCUGAUGCAAAUCCUUCCUUUUGGGGAAGCUGAUUCUGUCACAGAGCAAAGACCGGCAAAGGUCGGCACACAGGCGGUUAUCGGGAAGACUGCGCGCGAGUGUGACGCGCCUGAGCAUUGUCAGGCCCAGGACUCGGCGUUUGAUCCCCCUGACCAUUCUGGACAAGUGGCCCAUUUCCCGUUUGUGAAGUGACUCGUUUCACGGGAACACUCCCGGUUUGAGGCCUUGACGGUUCGGCCUCUCCCAAGGCGUGGGGUGAACAGGAAGGUGGGGUGCUCAGGCCACGACGGCCCGGCUCGGGUCUCUGAGGAC
rnacentral:lncRNA from 1 species